rnacentral:rRNA from 1 species
UACGUAGGGGGCAAGCGUUGUCCGGAAUCAUUGGGCGUAAAGCGCGUGUAGGCGGCUCGAUAAGUCUGCUGUGAAAGUCCAGGGCUCAACCCUGGGAUGCCGGUGGAUACUGUCGGACUAGAGUACGGAAGAGGCGAGUGGAAUUCCCGGUGUAGCGGUGAAAUGCGCAGAUAUCGGGAGGAACACCAAUUGCGAAGGCAGCUCGCUGGGACGUCACUGACGCUGAGACGCGAAAGCGUGGGGAGCAAACAGG